AUCCAACUGACGAGUCACAAAUAGGACGAAACGUGCAUCCUGGAU
rfam:Schistosoma rodhaini strain Burundi genome assembly, scaffold: SROB_scaffold0004217